UACGGAGGAUGCGAGCGUUAUCCGGAUUUAUUGGGUUUAAAGGGUGCGUAGGCGGUUGGUUAAGUCAGCGGUAAAAGCCCGGAGCUCAACUCCGGCGAGCCGUUGAAACUGGCUGACUUGAGAGAGUGAGAGGCAUGCGGAAUGCGCGGUGUAGCGGUGAAAUGCAUAGAUAUCGCGCAGAACUCCGAUUGCGAAGGCAGCAUGCCGGCGCUUAUCUGACGCUGAGGCACGAAAGCGUGGGGAUCAAACAGG
rnacentral:rRNA from 1 species